rnacentral:rRNA from 1 species
GACAGAGGUUGCAAACGUUGUUCGGAAUUACUGGGCAUAAAGCGCACGUAGGCGGUUCGUUAAGUCAUGUGUGAAAUCCCCCGGCUCAACCGGGGAAUUGCGCCUGAUACUGGCGAGCUAGAGAUCGAUAGGGGUGAGCGGAACUCCAGGUGGAGCGGUGAAAUGCGUAGAUAUCUGGAGGAACACCGGUGGCGAAAGCGGCUCACUGGAUCGAAACUGACGCUGAGGUGCGAAAGCUAGGGUAGCAAACGGG